GGAGACUCAUACAUAAGCAAGGGAAAGAAGGAAGUCGUUCCCUUAUCUCUUCCUCCUGGUCUCUGCUCUGAAGUUGCCAUGUGAUCCACUGGCAAGAGAAGGCACUAGCAAAAGGCAUCCUCUAUAAGAUAAGUCUUAUAAAAUAUAUAGAUUUAUGAUAAUUAGGACUGAGCUAGCAGAUGAGAAAUUCUAGUCAUUGGCCAAGCAGCAUUUGUACCUAAUAUAAGUAUCUGUGUGUUACUUGGGACCUUAACAUGGUGGUGGACAGAACUUGGGUGGCCUGGCAGAAAGCGCCCACAUGGCGGCAGGGCUCAGGCGGUUGGAAUAAAGACUUAUUGUUACAGCCAUUGUCCUAGUUAGGGCUUCUAUUACAGUGAAGAGACACCAUGACCAUGGCAACUCUUAUAAAGGAAAACAUUUAACUGGGACUGGCUUACAGUUUCAGAGGCUUAGACCAUUGUCUGUAGGGAGCCGUCCCUGCAUUCUCCAUUACAAGAUGGCGCCUGCAUCCGGCAGGCACCAAAUGUAAACAAGUUAAUGCGCGCAGGUGCUGGGUAACUUUCCAUUCCUUGAUCUCUGCCUCUUCCGUGGCUUCAUAUGGUCCGAUGAGCUGCAGCCAAUCAUGGGGUGACACAUCCAAGGCGGCGGUUGCCAGCCUUUAUUAGGGGACGGGAUUCUUGGCUCAGGGUCUCCGCUUUUGUAAGCUUAUGCUCUCUCUCAAGACGCAUAAAGCUUUACUGCAGAAGGAUCCGAGUGUCCUGUGUUGUUCUUGCCGGCAAGAUGAUCACACGGGACAAUUGUCAUGGCCGGAAGCAUAGUAGCAUGCAGGCAGAUGUGGUGCUGGAGAAGGAGCCAUCCAGAUUGACAAGAGUUCUACAUCCAGAUUGACAAACAGCAGGGAGAGAGCAUGACACUGGGCCUGGCUUGAGCAUCUGAGACCUUAAAGUGACACACAUCCUCCAUCGAAGCCACACCUACUCCAACAGGACACACCCCCUAGUAGUGCCACUCCCCAUGGGCCUAUGGGGGCUGUUUUCAUUCAAAGCACCACAGACAUUUUUAUUUAGAUGACAUGGCACUGACAUGGCUAUCCAGUAUGAGUCAUCUAAGACUUGGCUGACACCUGACAUUCAAGGGAUUGUAUGAAUCAGCACAAAAUGACUGACGCUGAAUGUCAGGGAACUCCAAAGUAAACAGUGAUUGGUGUGAGCUCUUAUGUAACUAAUUUUGACGGAGUACCACUUUUGAGUAGUUAGGUAUAAAUACAGCGCUGAAGUCAGAAGCCUGGACCUGCAUCUCUCCUCUCUCUCUCUCUCUCUCUCUCUCUCUCUCUCUCUCUCUCUCUCUCUCUCUCUCCCUCCUCUCUCUCUCUCUCUCUCUCUCUCUUUCUCUCUCUUUGUGUGUGUGUGUGUGUGUGUGUGUGUGUGUGUGUGUGCAGGUUUGUGUACAAGCAAAUGUGUGCUGGAUUAUGCCUGAGUGCCUGCUGUCAGCUGCUUGCCUAGUGAUUUAUGUGGCAGCAUUAGGCCAGAGUGAAUAAAGUGUGUCUUAUCUACUGGUACCUCCUCAUAAUCCCUUCAACCUCCCAUGAUCCUCCUCUUCUCCUGACGCUGGAGCAUUGUCCCGGGUGAACAAAGCCCUGGUUAUUAGUAAGGACACAGACAUCAUUGUAUCCUUAAACACAGCUUUACAUCUCUAAUUUGUUUGUCUGUGUGUUGAUCUUAAGAUGUCUCCUUCAUCCUGGUGAGGGCUGAACUCUAUCGAGUCCUACUGGUGUCAUAAGAAACCCUUCCCAUGGUUCAGUCCACCUCUCUAUAAGUUGAUCUGGGCAUCUACUGUUCAGGUUUUCAGAAGCACCCAGUCAUACACUUGAAGCAGUGUCUAGAAGAUGUAAGGACCAAAUCUCACAUAAUCAGAUAUUGUAGACAGGUUUAAAAUCUGUCCUGAUAGUGUAUAUAACCUUUCAUUUUUUUUUUAAAUUUAUUUAUUGGUUCCAGUUAGGGAACAAGCUUGUUUCACAUGUAAGUCCCUUCUCCCUCUCCCUCCCCUCACCCCCAUCCCUCCUCCCCCACCCUCAACGGGGGCUCUGCAAAGUCCACCAAAUCUUCCUGUGCUGUCCUGGGCCCUUCCCCAUGUGUCCAGGGCCAGAGUGUAACCCUUCAUAUGGGAUGGGCUCUCAAAGUCCCUUCUUGCACCAGGGAAAAAUACUAAUCCACCACCAGAGGCUCCCUGGAGUGCAGAGGCCUCCUUAUUGACAUCCAUGUUCAGGGAUCUGGAUCAGUCUUGUACUGGCCUCCCAGACAGCAUCUGGGGUCGAUGUGCUCUCCCUUGUUCAGGCCAACUGUUCCUGUGGGUUUCUCCAACCUGGUACAGACCUCUUCGCUCUUCAUUUCUCCCUCUCUUCAACUAAAUUCCCGAUUUCAGCUCAGUGUGUAUCUGUGGAUGUCUGUCUCUGCUUCCAUCAGCCACUGGAUGAGGACUCUAGGAUGGCAUAAAGAGAAGUCAUCAAUCUCAUUUUAGGGGAAGGGCUUUUAGGUUAUCCUCUCCACCAUUGCCUGGAUUGUCAGAUCGUGUCAUCCUUGUAGGUCUCUGGAGAUCUCCCUGGUUCCAGAUCUCUUCUCGGACCUAUAGUGGCUCCCUCUGAUAUGGUAUCUCUCAUCCUGCUCUCUCUCCUCUAUUCUUCCCCAACUCAAUAUUUCUGCUCCUCCAUUUCCUCUCCUCUACUCCUCUUUUCUUGCUCUUAUUGUAGCAGCUCCCUCCCCCCUACCCUCAUGCUCCCAAUUAGUUCAGGAGUUCAUGCCACUUCCAUUCCUGGGGACCAUUUAUCCCUUAGAGUCCUUCAUGUUUCCUAGUUUCUUUGGUGAAGAGGAUUAUAGGCUGGUAAUCCUUUGCUCUAUGUCUAAAAUUCAUAUAUGAGUGAGUACAUACCAUGUUUGUCUUUUUGUGACUGGGUUACCUCACUCAGGAUAUAACCUUUCAUUUUUAAGAUUUAUUUUUAUUUAUGUGGAUAUGUGCAUGGAUUGGUUGCCUUUCUGUGGCUAUGAUAAACACCAUGACCAAGACAACUGACAACAGGAAGGUUUUAGAUAGGCUUUUAGUUCCAGAGGUCUGAGCCCAUUACUACAUGGUGCAGAGGCAUGGUAGCAGGCAGCCAUUGUGGCUAGAGUGGCAUGCUGAGAGCUCACAUUUGGAAUUGAAAACAAGAAGCAGAGAGGACAAACUGGAAAAUGGCAUGAGUUUUUAAAUCUCAAAGCCUGCCUCCAGUGACAUACUUCUUCCAACAAGGCCACACCCCUAAACCUUCCCAAACACACCACCAACUGAGAACCAGUGUUCAAAUGCAGGAGCCGAAAUGGUUUGGAGGUACAUGACUCACUCUACACGGGGGAGGCAGGUGCAGGCUGAACACUGUGAACUCAAAGCCAGCCUGGGCUACAUAGUGACUUCCAGGCCAGAAAAGGUCAUGAACACAUGGACCUCCUGUAGAACCUAACACCUACACUGCACACUGUUUAUCCUUGCUUCUGGAAAAAGAAAGCAAGUGAGUCCUAGAAACCAUCCCCAAGUCCUUACAGACUGGGUGAUGAGAUAAUGACUCUGCCAGGCUGGCACGUGGUCCAUCUGGAAGAUAGCAGUGAGACAACCCCUUCCUGCACCAAGGAAAAGGAAAUGCUUUGCUUAUAAAGUUUAAGCACUUCGGAGAGAUGGCUCAGAGGUUAAGAUCAGUGACUUCUCUUCCAGAGUUUCUGAGUUCAAUUCCCAGCAUCCACAUGGUGGCUUAUAACCAUCUGUAAUGAGACCUGGUAUCCUCUUCUGGCAUGUAGGCAUAAAUGCAGGCAGAACACUAUAUACAUAAUAAAUAAAUAUUUAAAAAAAUAAAAAAUAAAGUUUAAGCACUUCACUAAAGAAGUGAAUUUUGAGUGCUUUAUCAAUCUUCAACUUAAAAAUCAUAGACACUGUACAUCAAUUAUAUAUGGGCAGUACAAGAAGUUCUUAUUGUUUUUUAAAAAGAACAUGAUGUUGGAGGUUAGAGAAAGGGCCGCAGGACUGGUAAGAUAUAAGAAGUGGCACUAGGGUCAAAGCACGCACUAAAUUCUCAAAGAACCAGCAAAUAGUUUUCAAGUUAAAACUUCUAGUAUAGCAAUGUGACUUAUUAGCUAGUGCUCUUGUUUCAAGGCAAUGUGUCUGACAGAACAAUUCAGUAGUGUGUUUCAGCCAGUAGUUUCUAGGGAUACAGCCCAUGGGGAGGGAAUGCAUGCAUGGAGCUGAUGUGCUCUGCUCACAACGACACAGUAAAGCACAUGGCCACCUGGGACUCCUGGGUGGACUGUUGGACUAAUCGGGCUACUGGCAACCUGAGAUUCCUACCUGCACUAAGCUUCAUGUUCAUUGGACACUAAGCAAUGGAAUGAGUUUUUCUGCCCUAACUAUUAGCAAUUCCUUUUCGGUAGACAAUUCCUAUUUAAACCGUUCCAUUUUCUGUCCAGGCGUGAGACUGAAAAGGCCAAUCCAGCCAGCACUAAUUGAAUGCACAGGGAGACAACAGUCCUCUGAGUGUCCACGUCCUGAGAAUUGACUAGUUACUAACUGAUGCAUGACGUCACGUGUACUCAUGGUAGAGACUUGUGCAGUGAGGAAUGGCUCGCCAAAGCCAAUCAGAUGUCAGUCAGAGAAUCAGCUGUGUGAGUCCUCUUAGCAAGCAAACUCCUCCUUCUUUCGAAUCCCACAAAGGGGAGUUCCGGAGGACAAUCAGGACUCCAGUAUUCUCUCACUCAAGUGGCACACUGUCUUGCUAGUUUAUUAGCUCUUCACUGUCACUUUGAUUUGGAGUAGUUUCCUUGUCACUUUGCAAUUGUUAUGUUCCCUGGGCCACGCAUUGGUGGCACACGCCUUUAAUCCCAACACUCGGAAGGCAGAGGCAGGCAGAUCUCUGUGAUGUAAGUUUGAGGCCAGCCUGGUCUCCAGAGCGAGUGCCAGCAUAGGCUCCAAAGCUACACAGUGAAACCCUGUCUCGAAAAAAAGAAAAAGAAAAAGAAAAAAGAAAAGAAAAGUUCUCUGAAUAAGAUGUAAGAACCUACAAGCACAAGGACUGUUGGUCCAGUCUUGGGAACAGGACCAACAGUAUGUUUGCAGUCUCAGAGCAAGUAGAUUAAAGCUGCUGCUUGGGCGAUUUCUGGGUUUCUCCAUUUUAUUAAAAUAUUUUCUCUUUCUUUUCUUUUUUAUUUUGUUUUGUUUGUUUUUGGUUUUUUGUGUGACAGGGAUUCUUUGUGUUGCCCUGGUCAUCCUGUGAAUUUCUCUGAACCCCAAGCUGGCUUUUAUACCAGAGAUCUGCAUGCUAGCAGAGUGCACCAGAUCUCAUUCAAGGUGGUUGUGAGCCACCAUGUGGUUGCUGGGAAUUGAACCCCAGUCCUCUGAAAGAACAGUCAGUGCUCUCAAUUACUGAUCCAUCUCUUCAGCCCCACACCCUGUUUCUUGCACUCUUUUUCAGCUAAAAUUUUCCUCUUCUUUAUUUUGAGAGAAAAGAGGACUGCUCUGUGUAGUCCUAACUGUCCUGGAGCUCUCUGUGUAGACCACGUGCUGGUUUGAACUCGCAGAGAUCUUCCUGUCUCUGCCUCCUGUGUGCUGGGAUUAAAAACAUGCACCACCACCGCUUGGCUAAAAUAUAUUUUAGGAGAAUAUAUUUUCGUCAUAUUCUUUCCUCUCUUUUUAUUCCAUCUGGAACAUGCAUCAAUGGGAUUGUGUACCCAAGUUCAAAGGGACUCUUCCCUCCUUGUUUGAGCAUUUCUGGAAACAUCCAUGCAUCUACACCUCAGUAUGUGUAUAUGAGUGCUUGCUGGAUAAAAAGUAUGAAUGUCUACAGAGACUGGAGACACAGCUCCGGUGAAGAGCACACAUUCCUGCAGAAGAACGAACGUAACACACUUCAUUACAUGCCUGGAGAUGCACAUCUGCCUGCAACUUCAUCUCCAGGACGUCUGAUGCCCUAGUUUGGCUUCAAUAGGCACAUGCACUCUCAUGUGAAAACACACAUACAUACACGCAAUUAGCUGCCACAGGGAGAACACUGAAAUUGCUCCUAUUUAUUGAAUUGUGUUGUACUUACUGUAUUAUUAAAUAUACUCACCAUCUUCCUGAAAAUAGCUUAGGCUUUCCUAGGAAUAAACAGGAACAUAUCUUUUCAUAGAAUAAACAUUUCUCUCAGAAUUCUGGAUUUAAUAUUUUUCAUCAUUUCAAAUGUCAGAACUUGUGUGUUUCACAUUUCUCUAAAAAAAUAUUAGGAGGACACUACCAGGACAUUCACUAAGGACAGCUCACAGGGUUGCAGUAACACAGCCAAGGCUUCAGAAUCCCUGAGCAAUUCUACUGACUUUGGUGAUAUGAGGCUGCCAGGCAUGACGACAGUGGCUGUCAAUGUGCGAGGAGCUGUCCAAUGGAUAAGGUCGCAUCUCAUCCUCUUCAUGAAGAGGGAACCCAGAUGCAGUAACUACCUUUGACCAGCAGGUGAUGGCAGCGUUCAGCUACUUGGUGCAGCGUUUGGCAGAGGUCGGUCAGGCAAGAUGGUGGCAGUGGUGGAGAGAGGUCACAAAAGUGGCUGCACUUAUCUUAGAGAGUAUACAGCCUUGUGGCCACAACCACUAAAAAAGAUGCGGCUUUACCACUGCUGUGUCAAGGGGAAGCCAGCGGCAAGGGGAAGCAGAGGACCAUGCUGAAAGCCAAGGACUACUUCCGAGGCCUCCUGGCUAAGUGCAGGAGGCCUCCGGGCACUGGUAGGCUGCAGUCUGAGCCGGUCUGGUGCCUGCAGCUAGAAACUCCAACAGUAAUCGUGCGGAAUUGGGGAGUCUGUGGAUAUCUCCCACCUGGACAGACUGUUUUGAGCAGCUCAGCAGCAGCUGGAAUGCACUUGUGUGCAGGUCACAGCGGGUCAGCUGCGAGCCAGGAGCACCUGUGGAAAGAGGGUGCUUUCCCGGCCUAGGCCGCAAUCCCAGUGGGACCCUCAGGCUGUCCCAAAUGGAGGUUAGGAUUACAGAUUACAAUAUCCCACUCCUGACACCAGAUAAUGUGGGAAAAUUACCAAUACAGAGCCAGAUAGAAAUACAGGGAUUUUAAUGGGGAAAAAGCCUUACUUACAGAGCAACCUAGCCAGCUGGAGCAACAGCAGUCUGUACAGCAAGCCAAAAGGAAAAACCAAAAAUGAAACCAGCUACCUGAAUGUCCCUUACUCUAUGUCACCCUGACCAUGCCCUCACAGGCGUGGUCAGGCACACCCGUAGCCAGCCCUUAAGCAGGCAUGGCUACAGCACCCCCUACAGGGGAAUUCUGUUGUCAGGAGAUGAUGGGGCUCAUCAAGCUGCUUACUCAGGUAAGAAGCAGAGAACACUGAAUGCUGACACCCAUCGAGCUUUCUCCAGGAAACCAUGGAACCAUGGACAAGGCUUGGUGCAGCCUACCUGGGGUGUAGUUCUUCACACCUCAACUUAAUCCAUAUUUUCCUCACAGGCAUGGCAGAGCCUGACCUAAUUGAGAUCAUUCUUCACAGUUGCGCUUGGAGUCUUGUCUCAUAGAUGAUUCCAGGUAUAAUUGAAUCAAAAAUAAAUGAUAAUGACCCACAGGUUGAAAUUAACAAUUAAAAUUUGGAGAAAAUUAUCUAAGGGCUUGAAGAGAUGGUUCAAUGUCUAAAGCACUUGAGACUUGACCUGAGUUCAGAUCACCAGAUCUUCCAGACAAAACAGAUAACGAUAGAAAUGAGGACAUUGUAGCUCAGGCAUCUCUAAACCAGAAGCACCUCCCCAGGGGUAGAAGGUAGAGGCAGGAGAUCACCACACACUGUGAGUCAGCUAUCCAGAUGCAUGAGCCAUAGCAGAGAAUAAAAGAGAACCUGUCUCAGAUAAGAAGUGAGGCAAAGACCAAACAUGGAUGCUAUCUUCUCAUUAGGCUCAAACCUCCUCAUGUGACCCCCAAACCUGCAUACCAUCAUUCAUGCAUACACACACAUUGUAUAUGUCAAAGCGACACACUCAAAUGAGCACAUGUGCAUGCACACACAUGAAUACAUGAGACACUUUUCUGUCUCUCUUUAUGAAACCAGGUCUUUAUCUCAACAUGGUGAGUGCCUUGCCUAUGUACUCACUGUCUUCCUAGAAAGGUUCUAAGAGAAAUUCCUAGAUAUUUUUAAUUCCUAGAGAAAACAUACAGUAAAGAAAAUGUUAUCAGUAUUAUCAGUUUGCUGCUUAUUUAAAUUUUUCCUCCUUAUCUUUCUCCUCCCCCUUUUUUUGAAACAAGAGUUUCCCUGAGUAGACCUGGCUGUUCUAGAACUAGCUCUGUAGACCAGGCUGGCCUUGAACUCAAGAGGUCUGCCUGCCUUUGCCUCUGCAAUCCCAAGUGCUAAGAUUAAAGGCAUGUGUCACCAUGCCUGGCUAUCUCUUUUUUCUUAAAAAUGUAUUAAUACAAUGUAUAAUGAUUACAGUUUAAUCUCUUCCAACUCUUACCAGAUGCUCCCCACCUCCUGACCUACUCAACUCCAAAAGUUCAUGUGAUUUUACAGCAUUCAUCAAAUCACAGUAUUGUAGACAUGAAGAAUGAAGAAACUUACUUCAGGAAUUAAGAAGAUAGCAGUUAUGGGUUGGCAAUUGUGGCUAUGAUUGUAGACAUAAAAAUGUCCUAAUCUUAAUUCUAUUGGUUUUUAAUUAACAACUUUCUCCUACCUUGGACAUGAUUAUUGCCUCAAUGACUAAUACGUUGGCAUCUUGGUCCCCAUGUGGCAAUACUGAGAGGUGGUUGUACUUGUAAGAGUCAGGGCCUACAGUGAAGCCACCCUGCUCUCUGGGACCACUGCUCUCUGCAGGCAUUAAGUUUGUUUUUACCUAUAACCUGCUCAAGCCUUGCAGGAGGAUUUUUUUUUUCAGAGAGCAAGACUAGUCCCCGGUUAUAAUGUCUGGCUUCCUGUCUGACCAUAUCUCUCUCAAAUAUGCCCCCAAUAUGUCAUUUACUGUGGUGUGGCAUUAACAAUUUGGCCCUAACCAGAGUCCAAGUUCUUGAGACAGUAUAUUGCCUCUUGUUCAUUGACCACUAAAACAGUUAAAAACGGACAACAAUCCAGUAUGUAGGGUCAUGAGAGUGCAUUAGAGGUUUGGGAAACAGGAUAUAGUAUUGUGAAUCUAAAAAUAUCUCAAACAUUAUUUUAAAAGCUAGCAUACAGAUGGACAGUAAAUGUGUGUCAUUUUGUCAAUUAUGACAUGAGCCUUCCAAUCCUGACAUCACAGUUGUCAGCCACCCUAACUACUGCAGAAUCCUUAGGUCUCAGUGGUUGGUCUUCCAACUGCUCUGGCUGUCUUUGGUUUCUAGUGCCAAGGAUAGAGAGAAGUUUAGUCUAUUGAAAGACUCUCCAUUCAAGGCUUCACUGGAAAGGUAUUCUCUUAAGAACUAGUUCUGAUCCUUAUGAUAGGUGGGUGGACUCGAAUUAUUCUGUCUUGUUUUCUCCAGAUCAUGUGAACUUGUUCUCCACUCAGCACAGCCCUCAUGAGAAACAAAUCAUUUUAAUGAAGUUCAGUGCUGAUCACCUCAGAAAGGAGACAUUAUGAUGUCAGGGGCAGAGGUCCUGGGAGGCGUGGGAGGAAAGUGCUUAUAAAUGAACAUGCCUGUCCAAGUUAGGAAAGAGGAUUUGUGCUCUGCUGAACUUGGUCACUUUGCCCAAUAUGAGCACGAAGGCCAACUGAAUAGCGGUAGGACCUCAACCAAAUAUCUAAGAACUUUCUGGUUCUCAGAAAAAUUUUAAUGUUUCUGCAUUUAUUAUUGUUAAAUCUGAACUCUGUUUUACCUAAGAUAGUAAUGGCUUUUCCAAACAUCCUUAUGUACUUGAAUUUACAUGGAACCACAUCUGAAUUAUUUGGGCCUUCAGGCAAAUUAGACAACUGUUGUUUUCCACAAUAUAUGACUAUCACUCUGGCAAAUAGAGGGGAUAUGGUUGGUAAUGUGGAAGUUAAAGUGCGUAAAGGAGUAUUUCAAGUCAGAUCCAGAUUUCUUCUGAGUUUGUGUCUGAAAUUGGGGUGUUUUCAGCAUUAUGGACUUAGCCUCCACCUCUGAGAGGAAAGCAAGCCGCACAGCUAUAGCCUGUAUUGUUUUUGUAGUCAUUUGUUUUGUUGACCUUAGCCAUUCUGAGUGGAGUGAGAUGAAAUACAAACUUGUUUUGAUUGGCACUUACCGAACUGAUAAGGAAGUUGAACACUUGUUGAGAUGUUUGCUAGUCAAAACUAUUUUAUUUGAAUCUUUCUUGAAGAUUGUAUCACAGUGACUUUCAUGAACAUAUACUUAUGAAAACGUAUAAAUAAAAAU
ensembl:lncRNA